ACUACGGGUGGCAGCAGUGAGGAAUAUUGGUCAAUGGGCGGAAGCCUGAACCAGCCAAGUAGCGUGCGGGAUGAAGGCCCUACGGGUCGUAAACCGCUUUUGCACGGGGAUAACACCCUCCACUUGUGGAGGUCUGCAGGUACCGUUCGAAUAAGGGCCGGCUAAUUCCGUGCAAGCAGCCGCGGUAAUACGGAAGGCCCGAUCGUUAUCCGGAUUCUUUGGGCUGAACGGGAGCGUAGGCGGGCGUUCAAGUCAGCUGUAAAAUCGCGCGGCUCAAACGCGCCCCGCAGUUGAAACUGGACGCCUUGAGUGCACAACAGGCAGGCGGAAUUCGUGGUGUAGCGGUGAAAUGCAUAGAUAUCACGAGGAACCCCGAUUGCGAAGGCAGCCUGCCGGGGUGCGACUGACGCUGAGGCUCGAAGGUGCGGGUAUCAAACAGGAUUAGAUACCCUAGUAGUC
rnacentral:rRNA from 1 species